GCCCUCGGCACAUCAUCGCCGCGCGCCGGCUCGCCAAGAGCAGGAGGGGUAGGCAGGGCGGCGCGUGACCUGGGCCCUCUCUGCCGCGCGCGCAGAGCCAAGGCACUGAUGUUUGAACUGGAAACUUCAAAACUUUUAAUAAGAGUCUUCAGGAUGGGUUUGAACUAGACAAGCUAGAAAUUUCUUUAGAACACCAGCUCCAGCAUGCAUCUCCCAUUUUUGGCUUUCCUGAAGAGGAGCUUGAAGAGGUGGUUCUGCAGACAGCCACAGUGACACUCAGGAAACCAGAGGAAUGGAUUUGACUUUUCUGCUAAGAUUCUCUUUGUUAUGGUUUCUCCCUGAGUUGUAAGAGGCAUAGAAAUAUACAUGAAACUGAAGAACCUGCAAGGAAGGGAAGUGGCACUUUCCAUGCUGAGUGAAAACUAACCAAGUGGCAGUUGUGACUGAAAACACUGAAACCUACCACGUCCAGAUUCACUGGAUUGGGGAAUAGAGGAACGGUCACAGCUAGGAAGAAAGAAGUGAUACUGGAAAAGAAAACCUAAAUGAAGAGAAUGAGGAUGACUGCAAAGUAGAUGGCCACCUCUACCUCCACAGAGACAAAGUCAGCCUCGUGGUGGAAUUAUUUUUUUCUUUAUGAUGGUUCCAAGGUAAAGGAAGAAGGCGAUCCAACAAGAGCUGGCAUUUGUUACUUUUAUCCUUCCCAGACCGUGCUUGACCAACAGGAGUUGCUUUGUGGACAGAUUGCUGGAGUUGUCCGCUGUGUUUCUGACAUUUCUGACUCUCCUCCUACUCUUGUUCGUCUGAGAAAACUGAAGUUUGCCAUAAAAGUUGAUGGAGAUUACCUUUGGGUGCUGGGCUGUGCUGUGGAGCUCCCUGAUGUCAGCUGCAAGCGGUUUCUGGAUCAGCUAAUUGGAUUCUUUAAUUUUUACAAUGGACCUGUUUCCUUAGCUUAUGAGAACUGUUCUCAGGAAGAACUGAGCAUGGAGUGGGACACCUUCAUCGAACAAAUUCUGAAAAACACCAGUGAUCUGCAUAAGAUUUUCAAUUCCCUCUGGAACUUGGACCAAACUAAAGUGGAGCCCCUGUUGUUGCUGAAGGCAGCCCGCAUUCUGCAGACCUGCCAGCGCUCGCCUCACAUUCUCGCUGGCUGCAUCCUCUAUAAAGGACUGAUUGUCAGCACCCAGCUCCCGCCCUCCCUUACCGCCAAGGUCCUGCUUCACCGAACAGCACCUCAGGAGCAGAGACUCCCAACGGGAGGGGAUGCCCCACAGGAACAUGGAGCGGCAUUGCCCCCGAAUGUCCAGAUUAUCCCUGUUUUUGUGACCAAAGAGGAAGCCAUUAGUCUCCACGAGUUCCCAGUGGAACAGAUGACAAGGUCUCUAGCAUCUCCAGCAGGACUCCAGGAUGGUUCAGCCCAGCACCAUCCAAAGGGUGGGAGCACAUCUGCCCUGAAAGAAAACGCCACUGGCGAUGUGGAAUCCAUGGCCUGGACCACCCCAGAGCCCACAUCCCCUGAUGAAGCUUGUCCAGAUGGCAGGAAGGCGAACGGAUGCUUGUCUGGCCAGGAUCUGGAGAGCAUCAGGCCCGCAGGACUGCACAACACUGCCAGGGGUGAGGUUCUUGGCCUCAGCUGCUCCCUGGGGAAGGAACUAGUCUUUCUCCAAGAGGAACUCGACUUGUCUGAAAUCCACAUUCCAGAGGCUCAGGAAGUGGGAACGGCCUCAGGUCAUUUUGCCUUCCUACAUGUGCCUGUUCCAGAUGGCAGGGCUCCUUACUGCAAGCCAUCUCUCAGCACCUCCAGCAGCCUGGAACCCACGCCUCCUGAGGACACAGCCGUCAGCAGCCUGCGCCGUCCGUCUGCUCCUGAGAUGCUCACCCAGCGUGGAGCCCAAGAGCAGCUCGAAGACCAUCCUGGCCAUAGCAGCCAAGCCCCCAUUCCUAGAGCAGACCCUCUCCCCAGAGGGACCCGCAGGCCCUUGGUACUGCCUCGCUUAGAUCCAGGGCAGAGAGGAAACAAGCUUUCCACGGAGGAACAAGGCCUGGAUCAGGAUGUUGAUGGGGUCUGUGAAAGCCACGCAGCCCCUGGUCUGGAAUGCAGUUCAGGCUCAGCAAACUCUCAGGGUGCUGGCCCCUCUGCAGACGGAAUCAGCUCCAGGCUGACACCAGCAGAGUCCUGCAUGGGGCUCGUGAGGAUGAAUCUCUACACUCACUGCAUCAAGGGGCUGGUGCUGUCCCUGCUGGCUGAGGAGCCGCUGCUGGGAGACAGCGCAGGCAUAGAGGAAGUGUACCACAGCAGCCUGGCGUCGCUGAAUGGGCUGGAAGUCCACCUGAAAGAGACGCUGCCCAGGGAUGAGGCAGCCUCCACGAGCAGCACCUACAACUUCACACAUUACGACCGCAUUCAGAGCUUGCUGAUGGCAAACCUGCCGCAGGUGGCCACCCCGCAGGAUCGCCGCUUCCUCCAGGCCAUCAGCCUGAUGCAUGGCGAGUUUGCCCAGCUGCCCGCGCUUUAUGAAAUGACUGUCAGAAAUGCCUCCACGGCCGUGUACGCCUGUUGCAACCCCAUCCAGGAGACGUAUUUCCAGCAGCUGGCACCUGCAGCACGGAGCUCCGGCUUCCCAAACCCUCAGGAUGGCGCCUUCAGCCUCUCCGGCAAAGCCAAGCAGAAGCUGCUGAAGCACGGGGUGAACUUGCUCUGAACUGCACCCAGGAGGUGACUGGGAAGGAGAAAACCAGCAAAGGAAGCUCUGCCUUUUAUAAUUGAAAAGGCCCCUCUAUUUUAUUUUUCUUGAAAACAUUCCCUUUUUUAGGAACAUAAUGAUAUUUGAGUUUUUAUUAUUCCUUUUGCAGAUUGGGAUGUGUUUGGGGGGCAGGGGUUAGUUCUUCAGGUCAGCAGACCCAGAGCACUUGAUAAAGAACUGUAUUUCAUCGGUGGUAUUGGGGCCGGGACAGGCUUGGCUCCCUCUCUGCCAUACUGAGCCUGAGGUAUUUCCUAUCUCCUGCUGCUGUUCCAUCCCAGCUUGAACUGGUGCCACAAGAUUCCAAGUUGGCAUUUUUUCUAGAACCUGAUCGCCGCUAGCCCAGAGUGUGUGUUCAACCCCCAUACCAGGUGGUGGUAGGCAGUGUGACUGCACAGCGAGGUGCCGGAUCUGUGAGCAGGCCGACUCCACGCCCACGCCACAGCUUCCAAGGACUAAAAAUAAAAUAGCCAAAAAAUGCUAGAGUUCUGAGUAAUUAAAUGGCAGCAAUUUUUGUGACAAAGGAUCUCUCCUGUCUCUGGGAUCCCAUCUGCCUAGAUGGAAGAGGAUCCUAUCCGAAGCUAGGAUAGAUGUUGUCUUACUCCUCUCCUAUGUUCUCCCAGAAAAAAUUCAUUACAAGUUCUCUGCUGUGAUUGCUGCAGCUCCAGGAAGCCCCCGCAAUGUCUCACGUUGUCUUUGACCAGUGGUCCCCAGUACCAGGCCAGAGAAGACAACUUUAUAAUGUCAUUUGUGUUGUGAAAAUUCUUCCACUGACCCAAAAUGGAACCGUACAAAGCCUAUCCGUGUAUAUGGAAAAGUCUCAUCCACCUGGAUUGACUCAGAAAAAGUAAAGUCCUGAAACUUUACUUUGCAGGUGCGCCCCUUUCUUUCCUCCUUUGAUCCUGCUUAGUUUCUGCAGUGGAGGUUCUGCUCAGAGCCCCAGGGCACUGGCAGCUGCAACCGUCAUCUCUAAAGCUUGGUAACUGUGGCCCAGAGGCUGCAGAGAAGAAACACUUAGCUCGCUGUUUUCCCUUUUUUUAAUAUUUCAGAGGUUUCAAGGGGUCACUCAGGACACGGUUUAUCCCACAGCCCCAGGCCCAUCCCCUCAAAAUUAGCACCCCCAGAGUACAGGCCCAGCGACGGACAGCCAAGCAGCAUGUUCUUGCUGGAAUGGGCACCACAACCUCUUAAUGGCCACGUUUCCCAAGGGAAGGCAGUGUGCAGGACAGCCUGCCCACCCUGGACUCCUAGUUGACACCGAGUGCCACUGUCAGUGAUCCAGGACCACAGAUUCUAGUGACUCUUGAGGGCAGAAAAGCCUCUGUUUUGGCUCCGUCUGUGCCAGCCAUCUGUCACCUGUGAACUGUAAGGAUAAAGGUCGCAUGAGUGAUUAAUAGUGGUGUGUUAGUCCGUUCUCAUGCUUCUAAUAA